UUGGAGGGCAAGUCUGGUGCCAGCAGCCGCGGUAAUUCCAGCUCCAAUAGCGUAUAUUAAAGUUGUUGCAGUUAAAAAGCUCGUUGUUGAAUUUCGGGGUCAAUAAGUUGGUCGUGCCAAUGGUAUGUACUGGCUUUAUUGAUUCCUACCUCUUGACGAACUGUGAUGCCAUUAAUUUGGUGUUGCAGGAAAUCAGGACUGUUACCUUGAAAAAAUUAGAGUGUUUAAGGCAGGCUUACGCUUGAAUACAUUAGCAUGGAAUAAUGAAAUAGGACGUUUGAACCUAUUUUGUUGGUUUCUAGGAUCGACGUAAUGAUUAAUAGGGAUAGUUGGGGGCAUUAGUAUUCAAUUGUCAGAGGUGAAAUUCUUGGAUUUAUUGAAGACUAACUACUGCGAAAGCAUUUGCUAAGGAUGUUUUCAUUAAUCAAGAACGAAAGUUAGGGGAUCGAAGACGAUCAGAUACCGUCGUAGUCUUAACCAUAAACUAUGCCGACUAGGGAUCGGAUGAUGUUAAUUUUUUAAUGACUCAUUCGGCGCCUUACGGGAAACCAAAGUGUUUGGGUUC
rnacentral:rRNA from 1 species